AACGAACGCUGGCGGCAUGCCUAACACAUGCAAGUCGAACGAGACCUCCGGGUCUAGUGGCGCACGGGUGCGUAACGCGUGGGAACCUGCCCUUAGGUUCGGAAUAACUCCCCGAAAGGGGUGCUAAUACCGGAUAAUGUCUUCGGACCAAAGAUUUAUCGCCUUUGGAUGGGCCCGCGUUGGAUUAGCUAGUUGGUAGGGUAAAAGCCUACCAAGGCGACGAUCCAUAGCUGGUCUGAGAGGAUGAUAAGCCACACUGGGACUGAGACACGGCCCACACUCCUACGGAAGGCAGCAGUAGGGAAUAUUGGACAAUGGGCGAAAGCCUGAUCCAGCAAUGCCGCGUGAGUGAUGAAGGCCUUAGGGUUGUAAAGCUCUUUUACACGGGAUGAGAAUGACAGUACCGGGAGAAUAAGCUCCGGCUAACUCCGUG
rnacentral:rRNA from 1 species